GAACUCAGAACAGUACUUUAAUUUUAGAUUUCGUUUCAGAACUCAUACAUUAUCAUUUUCGCCGCUUUAAAACCAGACCUAGCAAACUGGUGGUCUAAGUCUCCCUCCCCCCAUCCACACGUGAAUUUCAGAUCUCCUCCUCCUCUUCAGAAAACUUCAUCUCAAGCCAUGCCUCUAAUGAAAGGAAGAAUUCCUUUUUUAAUUCCCAAGAAAUCCUCCAGUGGUUUUCUCCUAUUCUCAUCUCAUGAAAUCAAGAAAGGGAAGAUCGAAGAUUGGUUCUAUCGACUAGCGCUGGAGGAAGAUUUGAAAUUCUCCCCUUCAAUAUUUCAAAUUCAGAUAUAUAUACAUCCAAUUUUAUUUGCUGAUACAUUCAGAUCUAUCACUUAAAAUCCUAAUUUAAUUUCCUUUUUUUUUUGCUUUUGUUCUCGUCAGGGAAGAUAUGAAGAUCGAUCCAGAGGACAU